UACGAAGGGGGCUAGCGUUGUUCGGAAUCACUGGGCGUAAAGCGCACGCAGGCGGACUGAUUAGUCGGGGGUGAAAUCCCGGGGCUCAACCUCGGAAUUGCCUUCGAUACUGUUAGUCUAGAGUCCGGGAGAGGUGAGUGGAAUUCCUAGUGUAGAGGUGAAAUUCGUAGAUAUUAGGAAGAACACCAGUGGCGAAGGCGGCUCACUGGCCCGGUACUGACGCUCAGGUGCGAAAGCGUGGGGAGCAAACAGG
rnacentral:rRNA from 1 species